GACGAACGCUGGCGGCGUGCUUAACACAUGCAAGUCGAACGAUGAAGCAAAGAAUUGAAGCUUCGGCAGAAAUUCAUUUCGGAUUAGUGGCAGACGGGUGAGUAACGCGUGAGCAACCUACCUCUUACAAAGGGAUAGCCUCGGGAAACCGGGAUUAAUACCAUAUAACAUUGCGACGAAGCAUUUCGAUGCAAUCAAAGCUACGGCGGUAAGAGAUGGGCUCGCGUCCCAUUAACCAGAUGGUGAGGUAACGGCUCACCAUAGUGACGAUGGGUAACCGGCCUGAGAGGGUGAACGGUCACACUGGAACUGAGACACGGUCCAGACUCCUACGGGAGGCAGCAGUGGGGAAUAUUGCACAAUGGAGGGAACUCUGAUGCAGCGACGCCGCGUGAGUGAUGAAGGAAUUCGUUUCGUAAAACUCUGUUCUAUGGGAAGAAAAGGACUGUACCAUAGGAGAAAGCUCCGGCUAAAUACGUG
rnacentral:rRNA from 1 species